UACGGAGGGUGCGAGCGUUGUCCGGAAUUAUUGGGCGUAAAGGGCUCGUAGGCGGUCUGUCGCGUCAGGAGUGAAAACUCGGGGCUUAACCCCGAGCCUGCUUCUGAUACGGGCAGACUAGAGGUAUGCAGGGGAGAACGGAAUUCCUGGUGUAGCGGUGAAAUGCGCAGAUAUCAGGAGGAACACCGGUGGCGAAGGCGGUUCUCUGGGCAUUACCUGACGCUGAGGAGCGAAAGUGUGGGGAGCGAACAGG
rnacentral:rRNA from 1 species